GAUGAACGCUGGCGGCGUGCCUAAUACAUGCAAGUCGAGCGAACAGACGAGGAGCUUGCUCCUCUGACGUUAGCGGCGGACGGGUGAGUAACACGUGGAUAACCUACCUAUAAGACUGGGAUAACUUCGGGAAACCGGAUCUAAUACCGGAUAAUAUAUUGAACCGCAUGGUUCAAUAGUGAAAGACGGUUUUGCUGUCACUUAUAGAUGGAUCCGCGCCGCAUUAGCUAGUUGGUAAGGUAACGGCUUACCAAGGCAACGAUGCGUAGCCGACCUGAGAGGGUGAUCGGCCACACUGGAACUGAGACACGGUCCAGACUCCUACGGGAGGCAGCAGUAGGGAAUCUUCCGCAAUGGGCGAAAGCCUGACAGAGCAACGCCGCGUGAGUGAUGAAGGUCUUCGGAUCGUAAAACUCUGUUAUUAGGGAAGAACAAAUGUGUAAGUAACUAUGCACGUCUUGACGGUACCUAAUCAGAAAGCCACGGCUAACUACGUG
rnacentral:rRNA from 1 species